CCCGCCCCUCACCCUCCGUGAUUGUAGCUCCGAGGGCCAACCCCGCUGGUUAACCCGGUGAUCGGGAGCUACCUGCCCGCUGCGCCUUUGUCCUUCGUGCACACAGUGCUGGCAAAGACUGUCUAGAAAAUACCCAGGGGUGGGAGUCGGGAGGAGAGAGAUGCUUAAGGAUAUGACGGGCACUGUUAAGCGUUUCUUCAUGCUCUGCAUCUGGAGAUUUUCAUUAGAGGAAAAGUAUAUGCGAGACCUUUAUUCAAGCCAUUGGGGAUACAGUGUUUAAGAAGACUGUUUCCUUACUCACAAAGCUUCCAUGUCUAGACACGUGGAAAAAUCUCCAAAAUGUAUUUUAAAGAGAAAAAGGCAAAAGUGGUGGAGAAACAGAGAAUCACUUGGAGAGCUUGACUUGGAGUUUGAGGAAUAGAGGAGCUGGUACCCGACUCAUCCUGAAAAAGUCAAAAGGCAUUAUAAACUGGAUCGGGCUCAAGCCAAAGAAGAACUGACUCACAAAACUUAAAUGGGAGGGUAAGCUUUGCUUUGUACUAUCUGACAAUGAGACUAUUUUUUAAUACUGUAACUGAAAAUGAAUGUGAAACAUGGGGCCCACCCAAAAUCUCAUCCUGGGCACAGAAAAGAAUUGUGAACAACGCAGGUUUAAUGAGUCAGUGAUAAGAUAGAACAGAAUUGUGUUAAUUCAGUAAACUGGCUUCUUAGAUAUUGAGCCCCUUUCCAGUAUUUCCUCCUCAGGUUAAUCUUAUGUGGAACACGGAAAAAGAACUGCUUUCUUACUCACUACCAGAGUGUCUCUGACCUUUGACUCUGAUUUAGGAGACAUUGUUCAAUGGUUAUUGUCCUAUGAAAUCAUGCAGAAUUGUAUUAUGUUCCUUUGUGUGAACUGCAAACAGAACCUUUCCAACUGUUGGGUGGAGUAGAUUAUCACUGACAACAUGAAAUUUUUUCAGUAAUGCCACUCAGAUUCUGCCCCUCCCAUGGGAGACAACUGCAAUUUGUUUGGAUAUAUAUAUAUAUAUAUAUAUUUAAAGAAAUUUUUUAAUGUUUAUUUAUUACCGAGAAACAGAGUGAGACAGAGUAUGAGCAUGGGAGGGGCAGAGAGAGGGGGAGACACAGACUCUGAAGCAGGCUCCAGGCUCUGAGCUGUCAGCACUGAGCCCGAUGUGGGGCCAGAAUUCACAAACUGUGAGAUCACGACCUGAGCAGAAGUUGGACCCUUAACCAACUGAGCCACCCAGGUGCCCCACAAUUUGUUUGGAUAUUGAUUCUGCUCUGGCUGCUGCGCUCUGGCGUAGAGUGCCUGUCCAUUUCUUCAUCCCACUUGGAGUGCUGUAUAUUUCAGUUAGGGAUGAUAUGGGCAUCCCUCAGUGGCCUAAUUCUUUUUCUCUUUCAACUCAGUCCCAUUCUGUGUCUCUUCUUGCCUCCCUCUCUCCUGCUCUUCCUUCUACACUGGUCCCAAGGUGAACUAGCUUCUAAUUUUUUUUUGAUUUGCCUUCUCUUUCCAGCACUUUCUCUUUAGAUCCUGCAGGAAAUACAGUGUUUCUGAUUGUAGAUAGGAUGAUCAUCCAUAGGUAGGAUUUGCCUCUGGCUUCUAGUUUCAUUAGUAUCAAGCUUCACUCAGUUCUAGUCCAUCAGCCCUAGACCUCCCUCUCCGAUCUCCAAGGAAGGAUGCCUGACAUUUAGCUUGGGAUAUAGGGAUAUAGAAGCAGAGUUGGCUGGGGAGGAAAAUCCCCCUCCUAUCAUCAUCUCAAAUAAGGAAGGGUUUCCCUUGAAGUGCCUCCUGACUGGCUGAGAAUAGGCCCAACACACUGACGAGUGAGAAAUCUUGGUAUAUCUAACUUUAAAAAAUGUCUUCAUUGAGAGGAGAAAAGGGACAUUAAUUGACUCAUGUGUUUAUGGAUUCAUUCCACAUGAGGUGGCUAAAAAUAUUAAAUAACUUAAAAUUAUAUAAAUCACAAAAAACAAUAAAAUUAAAUAAAUGUCUUUUAUUCUACUGAGUGAUGAUGAUGAAGAGAACAGGCUAUUUGAAAUUAUGAGGAAAAUUAUGUAUUAGGUUGAAUCACACGAAACUGCUGUUAUUCAACCAUUUUGCCCAUGUUUGACCAUUUUAACAUAAGAAAAUAUCAAUUUCGUGUGGUUCAGCCUAAUAUUAAUGUUUUAAAGACAUCUUUGAUAGUAUUUCUCUGCUGUAAAUGCUUUUCCAUUUGAAUGAUAAUGUAUGUUAGUCCCAGUUCUUCUUUUAUAUUAUUUUCAAUUACUUUACACUACCAGUAGAGUGCAUUGGGUGCCUGGUGAUAUCAAAGAAAAUUUUUAUAAUAAAAUGUAUGCAUAGAUGCAUCUGGUUAUGAUUUGCUUUUCCUUUUCUCCAAUUGCAUAAUUCGAGUUGAUGCUGCAUAAUUCUUUUUUCCUUUUAUUCCAUUCCAUAUGGUGGCAGAACAAGUACCAAAAGAUGAAUACUUUCAGUACCUUUCAUAUCAAAGCUGCAGCUUUCACAUUCUGUUCUAUUGAUACUGCAUUUUGGCAGCGGAUAAAGGAACACAGUUAAAGUCUCUGCUCAUAAUUGGUUUUAUUUGGGAAAGAUUUUCUUUGAACUAGUGACCACCCGUGAUUUUAUAAUUAUCAGAAAUUA